GACGAACGCUGGCGGCGUGCUUAACACAUGCGAGUCGAACGGAAAGGCCCUGCUUUUGUGGGGUGCUCGAGUAGCGAACGGGUGAGUAACACGUGAGUAACCUGCCCUUGACUUUGGGAUAACUUCAGGAAACUGGGGCUAAUACCGGAUAGGAGCUCCUGCUGCAUGGUGGGGGUUGGAAAGUUUCGGCGGUUGGGGAUGGACUCGCGGCUUAUCAGCUUGUUGGUGGGGUAGUGGCUUACCAAGGCUUUGACGGGUAGCCGGCCUGAGAGGGUGACCGGCCACAUUGGGACUGAGAUACGGCCCAGACUCCUACGGGAGGCAGCAGUGGGGAAUAUUGCACAAUGGGCGGAAGCCUGAUGCAGCAACGCCGCGUGCGGGAUGACGGCCUUCGGGUUGUAAACCGCUUUCGCCUGUGACGAAGCGUGAGUGACGGUAAUGGGUAAAGAAGCACCGGCUAACUACGUG
rnacentral:rRNA from 1 species